GCCCGCUUGGCUCACCGGUAGAGCGCCUCACGUACGUUCCCAUGCCCCGAUGAAUCGUAAUAAUUACAGUAGAUACUGACUCCCUGAUAGUAGUAAUGAGGAGGCAACUGGUUCGACUCCAGUAGUGGGCA